AGAGUUUGAUCAUGGCUCAGAUUGAACGCUGGCGGUAUGCUUAACACAUGCAAGUCGAACGCGAAAGCACCUUCGGGUGUAAGUAGAGUGGCGGACGGGUGAGUAAGGCAUGGGAAUCUGCCCUAUAGCGGGGGAUAACUUGGGGAAACCCAAGCUAAUACCGCAUACACCUACGGGUAAAAGAUGGCCUCUUCUUGAAAGCUAUUACUAUAGGAUGAGCCCAUGUAAGAUUAGCUAGUUGGUAGGGUAAAAGCCUACCAAGGCUACGAUCUUUAGCUGGUCUGAGAGGACGAUCAGCCACACUGGGACUGAGACACGGCCCAGACUCCUAUGGGAGGCAGCAGUGGGGAAUAUUGGACAAUGGGGGCAACCCUGAUCCAGCAAUACCGCGUGUGUGAAGAAGGCCUGCGGGUUGUAAAGCACUUUUAUCUGUGAGGAAGGGUUUAAUGUUAAUACCAUUAGACAUUGACG
rnacentral:rRNA from 1 species